AGUGAACGCUGGCGGUAGGCCUAACACAUGCAAGUCGAACGGCAGCACAGUAAGAGCUUGCUCUUACGGGUGGCGAGUGGCGGACGGGUUAGGAAUACAUCGGAAUCUACUUUUUCGUGGGGGAUAACGUAGGGAAACUUACGCUAAUACCGCAUACGACCUACGGGUGAAAGCAGGGGAUCUUCGGACCUUGCGCGAUUGAAUGAGCCGAUGUCGGAUUAGCUAGUUGGCGGGGUAAAGGCCCACCAAGGCGACGAUCCGUAGCUGGUCUGAGAGGAUGAUCAGCCACACUGGAACUGAGACACGGUCCAGACUCCUACGGGAGGCAGCAGUGGGGAAUAUUGGACAAUGGGCGCAAGCCUGAUCCAGCCAUACCGCGUGGGUGAAGAAGGCCUUCGGGUUGUAAAGCCCUUUUGUUGGGAAAGAAAAGCAGCAGGUUAAUACCCCGCUGUUCUGACGGUACCAAAAGAAUAAGCACCGGCUAACUUCGUG
rnacentral:rRNA from 1 species